GAUGAACGCUGGCGGCGUGCCUAAUACAUGCAAGUCGAGCGAACAGACGAGUAGCUUGCUCCUUUGACGUUAGCGGCGGACGGGUGAGUAAUACGUGGGUAACCUACCUAUAAGACUAGGAUAACUUCGGGAAACCGGAGCUAAUACCGGAUAAUAUUUCGAACAGCAUGGUUCGAUAGUGAAAGAUGGCUUUGCUAUCACUUAUAGAUGGACCUGCGCCGUAUUAGCUAGUUGGUAAGGUAACGGCGUACCAAGGCAACGAUACGUAGCCGACCUGAGAGGGUGAUCGGCCACACUGUAACUGAGACACGGUCCAGACUCCUACGGGAGGCAGCCGUAGGGAAUCUUCCGCACUGGGCGAAAGCCUGACGGAGCAACGCCGCGUGAGUGAUGAAGGUCUUCGGAUCGUAAAACUCUGUUAUUAGGGAAGAACAAACGUGUAAGUAACUGUGCACGUCUUGACGGUACCUAAUCAGAAAGCCACGGCUAACUACGUG
rnacentral:rRNA from 1 species